CUACGGAGGGUGCAAGCGUUAAUCGGAAUUACUGGGCGUAAAGAGUACGUAGGUGGUUUGUUAAGUCAGAUGUGAAAGCCCCGGGCUCAACCUGGGAACUGCAUUUGAAACUGGCAGACUAGAGUAUGGUAGAGGGGGGUAGAAUUUCUAGUGUAGCGGUGAAAUGCGUAGAUAUUAGAAGGAAUACCAGUGGCGAAGGCGGCCCCCUGGACCAAUACUGACACUGAGGUACGAAAGCGUGGGUAGCGAACAGGAUUAGAAACCCUAGUAGUCC
rnacentral:rRNA from 1 species